CACGUAGGGCGCGAGCGUUGUCCGGAAUUAUUGGGCGUAAAGAGCUCGUAGGCGGCCUGUUGCGUCCGCUGUGAAAGCCCCGGGGCUUAACCCCGGGUCUGCAGUGGAUACGGGCAGGCUAGAGGUAGGUAGGGGAGAAUGGAAUUCCCGGUGUAGCGGUGAAAUGCGCAGAUAUCAGGAGGAACACCGGUGGCGAAGGCGGGUCUCUGGGCCGAUACUGACGCUGAGGAGCGAAAGCAUGGGUAGCGAACAGG
rnacentral:rRNA from 1 species